rnacentral:rRNA from 1 species
ACGCUCGACACCCGAGGCAGCAGUGGGGAAUAUUGCACAAUGGGGGAAACCCUGAUGCAGCGACGCCGCGUGAAGGUAGAAGUAUCUCGGUAUGUAAACUUCUAUCAGCAGGGAAGAAAGUGACGGUACCUGACUAAGAAGCCCCGGCUAACUACGUACCAGCAGCCGCGGUAAUCUGAGCGGGCUGGCAAGGC